CCCUACGGGACGCAGCAGUGGGGAAUAUUGGGCAAUGGGCGCAAGCCUGACCCAGCAACGCCGCGUGAAGGAAGAAGGCUUUCGGGUUGUAAACUUCUUUUAAGAGGGAAGAGAAGAAGACGGUACCUCUUGAAUAAGCCACGGCUAACUACGUGCCAGCAGCCGCGGUAAUACGUAGGGGGCAAGCGUUAUCCGGAUUUACUGGGUGUAAAGGGAGCGUAGACGGCAGGGCAAGUCUGGAGUGAAAGGCGGGGGCUCAACCCCCGGACUGCUCUGGAAACUGCCAGGCGGGAGUGCAGGGGAGG
rnacentral:rRNA from 1 species